rnacentral:misc_RNA from 1 species
AGUGGUCAGUCCCAGCCAAUGAUUCGAUCAACAUAUUAUACUUUUCCUCGAAUAACUGACCGAGGUCUGAGGGGCGUAGGCGAUCACCAGGGAUCGCCGCUGUGGACGAGGGCUGAGGACUCUCCUCGCCGCUGAUAAAAUCUCCGGCGCCGGUGUGGCCGUCGUUGUCGCCGACGUCGCUCAGCAGAUCGCCGAUGCAGAGAAGUGGCCCGCCG